GUCACUUUUAUUUUCAGAACUGGUCUUGGACGCGGCCACUCAUCUCAGUUUACCAGCGAAUAAUGCGAGCGCACCUCCACCGUGCGCCCGACCCUCCGCAACAGUAAGAGCCCAUUAUUCCUCUCUCUCUCUUGGGGAGUUCCAUUUCUCUCUCUCUCUCUCUCUAUCUAAAUUGCCGUUUCUGCUCAUUUCCGUCACUGUAAGAAAUCAUUUACCCUGCAAGAACGAACGAGCACCCCCUGCACCUCUCGACGCUCUCCCAUCAAAACCCUAAUCACCUGCAACUCCGUUCCCCAAAAUUCUAAUUCCCAUCUCCAUUGAAACACAACCCACCUGCAAACCCCCAAAUCCCGUUGUCACUAAAGCCCCUCCCACGCCAAAACUCUAAUCCUAAAUUGCCGAAAUCCCUUCCUUCCCUGAUGCACACAGAGAGCCAGCCCAUGACCUCCUCCCCCCGAAAGGUGCCCCCUCUCACUGGCGGGCAACGCAAGAUCGCCAUAGCAGUCGACCUAAGUGAUGAGAGCGCCUUUGCUGUGAAAUGGGCAGUCCAAAACUACCUUCGUCCUGGCGAUAAUGUGAUUCUCCUCCAUGUUCGCCCCACCAGUGUCCUCUAUGGAGCCGAUUGGGGCUCCAUUGACCUAUCAGUUGAUACAGAUGAAGAGUCUCAGCAAAAGCUUGAAGAUGAUUUUGAUACCUUUACCACUACCAAAGCAACUGAUCUUGCUCAGCCUCUUGUUGAAGCCCAGAUCCCCUUCAAGAUCCAUAUUGUGAAGGACCAUGACAUGAAGGAGAGGCUUUGCCUCGAGGUUGAGAGGCUGGGGCUCAGUGCAGUGAUUAUGGGGAGUCGAGGGUUUGGCGCCUCAAAGAGGAACAGUAAGGGGAGGCUUGGAAGUGUGAGUGAUUACUGUGUUCACCACUGUGUUUGCCCUGUAGUGGUGGUGAGGUUCCCUGAUGAGAAAGAUGGUCAAGGUGGUGCUCAGGUUAGUGGUGUGGGCGGUGGGGAAGUUGUGAAGAAGGUGGAGAAGGAUCCAGAGUUGCACCCUGUUCCUGAGGAGGAGCAGGAGUAUCACUCAGCUGAUGAGCAGAAAGAGUUCUAGAAAGAAUGCUGAGGCUGCUGUGGCCCUUACGAGUUUAGGUGAAGUGUGAUCUUAAGGUAACACUGUAUGUUGUGGAACUAAGGGCAACUGAUGAAUAUUCUUUUAGAAGGCGUAGGAGGCUUUGAGUAGUUUGGAUUGUGGAGAGACCGUGUUGUGACUUUGUUGGACCAUUUUAGCCUGUGGUGUUAAGUCUUUGUAACUUCUGCUUGUAAAAACUGCCUCUUCUACGGCAUAAAACAAAGUUUGGGGGUUGUAUCUUGGCCGUUUUCUUUUCUUUUGGGUCGAUCAACGGUCCCUCGUCCACAAUUCUGCCUAUGUGAAAUACAACUUCAAAACAUUUUACUGAAUGCCUGUUGCUUGGUUUAUGAA